rnacentral:rRNA from 1 species
CAGUCGAACGAGCGAGAGAGAGCUUACUUUCUCAAGCGAGUGGCGAACGGGUGCGUAACGCGUGAGGAACCUGCCUCAAAGAGGGGGACAACAGUUGGAAACGACUGCUAAUACCGCAUAAGCCCACGACCCGGCAUCGGGUAGAGGGAAAAGGAGCAAUCCGCUUUGAGAUGGCCUCGCGUCCGAUUAGCUAGUUGGUGAGGUAACGGCCCACCAAGGCGACGAUCGGUAGCCGGACUGAGAGGUUGAACGGCCACAUUGGGACUGAGACACGGCCCAGACUCCUACGGGAGGCAGCAGUGGGGAAUAUUGCACAAUGGGGGAAACCCUGAUGCAGCGACGCCGCGUGGAGGAAGAAGGUCUUCGGAUUGUAAACUCCUGUUGUUGAGGAAGAUAAUGACGGUACUCAACAAGGAAGUGACGGCUAACUACGUGCCAGCAGCCGCGGUAAAACGUAGGUCACAAGCGUUGUCCGGAAUUACUGGGUGUAAAGGGAGCGCAGGCGGGAAGACAAGUUGGAAGUGAAAUCCAUGGGCUCAACCCAUGAACUGCUUUCAAAACUGUUUUUCUUGAGUAGUGCAGAGGUAGGCGGAAUUCCCGGUGUAGCGGUGGAAUGCGUAGAUAUCGGGAGGAACACCAGUGGCGAAGGCGGCCUACUGGGCACCAACUGACGCUGAGGCUCGAAAGUGUGGGUAGCAAACAGGAUUAGAUACCCUGGUAGUCCACACUGUAAACGAUGAUUACUAGGUGUUGGAGGAUUGACCCCUUCAGUGCCGCAGUUAACACAAUAAGUAAUCCACCUGGGGAGUACGACCGCAA